AACAUUCUGUUCGCUUUUUUUGACUGCUGCUACACAUUGAGCGGAUGUUUUCAGAGAACUAUCCACAAUGACUCCAAGAUCUCUUUCUUGACAGGUGUUUCCAGCUGAGGAAGGGCCUUUGAACAGAGGCAAAACUGCUGACAUAUACCAGGGUUAGGUGGAACAAGGGAGUUACUGGAGGCAUUAUGAAAAGAUGCAACCUUGAGAUCUCAGCCGUCCGUGUUUUCACUGGCCGAAAGACUCCAAAGAAUUAGGAAGCAGCUGUAUGGAAGCAAAGAG